UACGUAGGGACCGAACGUUGUCCGGAAUCAUUGGGCGUAAAGAGCGUGUAGGCGGCCACUUAAGUCCUGCGUGAAAUCUUGCGGCUCAACCGCAAGCGGUCGUGGGAAACUGGGUGGCUAGAGUGCGGGAGAGGAGAGUGGAAUUCCUGGUGUAGCGGUGGAAUGCGCAGAUAUCAGGAAGAACACCCGUGGCGAAGGCGGCUCUCUGGAACGCAACUGACGCUGAGACGCGAAAGCGUGGGUAGCAAACAGG
rnacentral:rRNA from 1 species